GUGGCUUUCGUUUCAACAAAAGAAUUUAUGCACGAAGGUUGUAUGAAAAACAAAAUCUCACCAGUAAUUGCGUCAAUGUGGAAGAAUGCUUUACACUCGUUUAAUUUGAAAAACGCGAAGGGGGUUGUGAGUGGCGAGGUCAGCUCAGUGGGCUUGUUCCUCCCGUACGGCGUACCUAAUGGGUAUAUAUACGAUACAAUCUUGAGUGCGCAGUCGAGUUUAGUUCAAGUAGUUAACUCGCAGACUUGUGACGUACUAGUCAAAACUUACCCACACGUACUCGUAAAUUGAAAAUGGCAUAAGGCUGCACACACCAUGGGCUGCACCAGCAGCGCUCCAGUUAUGAAAGACGCUCAGAGUGAUGCAACAGAUGGCGCCAAAUCGGAGACAAAUAAUGGACACUAUGCAGCAGAGGAAAAAGUCCAGAAUGUAGAUGUUAAUCACAAGAAUCACUUCAGCUUGGACAGCCACUAUUCUACUGAGAUGCUUCCGAAAAGUGAUAAAAUAAAUGAAAACCUACAAUUACCAAGUUAUAAUUCUAUAUUUUUAAACAACGAUUCAAAUUGGUCAGCCAAAGGUUUGUAUAGACAAUAGUAUAAACAAUGAUAGCCAGAAAAACAUCGUACAAACAGAGGAAAAUUUUAAAACAUUUAUCGAAGUAGUAGAUCACGUUUUAGUGAAUAAAGUAGUAGAACCUGAAGAAUUAGAAGAAUCACAAGAAACAAUUGCUAUAAGGAUUGAACCAGAACCUGAGAAUGUUUCAAUAAAAGACGAAAUUACACCAGCAGACAAUAAAACUAAUGAAACUUCUAUUAAUGAAGAUUUAGAAGAAACGGACGAGGUAAAGAACAUUUUAGAACAUGAAAGUCCAACACAGUCUGAAAGCCGGUCCACUCGUUGGGAGGCUUUAGCGGAUAUAGCUGCAGAACUUCCACCUUCUCUUGCUGUGGACCCUGUUACUGGGCAAAUAUACUCCCUUACCAAAUAAAUAAUUAUGUCUAAAAUAGUUAAAUAAUAAAAGUUUCGUCAUAUGGUCAUUUACAUCUUUUUUAACUGCA